rnacentral:rRNA from 1 species
AGAGUUUGAUCAUGGCUCAGAACGAACGCUGGCGGCGUGUUUAAGACAUGCAAGUCGCACGGGAUUGAUUGAGUAGUAAUACAAGAUCAGUCUAGUGGCGCACGGGUGAGUAACAUGUGAAUUACAUGCCCUUCAGUGGGGAAUAGCCCAGGGAAACUUGGAUUAAUACCCCAUGGUAUCGCAAGAUUAAAGGUGGCCGCAAGGCUGUCGCUGAAGGAUUGGUUCGCACCCUAUCAGCUUGUUGGUGAGGUAAUGGCUCACCAAGGCUACGACGGGUACCUGGUCUGAGAGGACGAUCAGGCACACUGGAACUGAGACACGGUCCAGACACCUACGGGUGGCAGCAGUCGAGAAUAAUUCACAAUGGGGGCAACCCUGAUGGUGCAACGCCGCGUGGAGGAUGACGGUCUUCGGAUUGUAAACUCCUGUCAUCCGGGAGUAAGACCUGGGAGUUAAUAGCUCACAGGGUUGAUAGUACCGGAAGAGGAAGGGACGGCUAACUUCGUGCCAGCAGCCGCGGUAAUACGAAGGUCCCAAGCGUUGUUCGGAAUCACUGGGCGUAAAGGGAGCGUAGGCGGCGUGGUAAGUCAGAUGUGAAAUCCCGGGGCUCAACCCCGGAACUGCAUCCGAUACUGCCAUGCUAGAGGAUUGGAGAGGUAGCUGGAAUUCUUGGUGUAGCAGUGAAAUGCGUAGAGAUCAAGAGGAACACUCGUGGCGAAAGCGAGCUACUGGACAAUUCCUGACGCUGAGGCUCGAAGGCUAGGGUAGCGAAAGGGAUUAGAUACCCUAGUAGUCC